GACGAACGCUGGCGGCGUGCCUAAUACAUGCAAGUCGAACGCUUCUUUCCUCCCGAGUGCUUGCACUCGAUUGGAAGGAGGAGUGGCGGACGGGUGAGUAACACGUGGGUAACCUACCCAUCAGAGGGGGAUAACACUUGGAAACAGGUGCUAAUACCGCAUAACAGUUUAUGCCGCAUGGCAUCAGAGUGAACGGCGCUUUCUGGUGUCGUUGAUGGAUGGACCCUCGGUGCAUUAGCUAGUUGGUGAGGUAACGGCUCACCAAGGCCACGAUGCAUAGCCGGUCUGAGAGGGUGAUCGGCCACACUGGGACUGAGACACGGCCCAGACUCCUACGGGAGGCAGCAGUAGGGAAUAUUCGGCAAUGGGCGAAAGUCUGACCGAGCAACGCCGCGUGAGUGAAGAAGGUUUUCGGAUCGUAAAACUCUGUUGUUAGGGAAGAACAAGGACGUUAGUAACUGCACGUCCCCUGACGGUAUCUAAACAGAAAGCCACGGCUAACUACGUG
rnacentral:rRNA from 1 species